rnacentral:rRNA from 1 species
AAGUCGAACGAGAGAUGAGGAGCUUGCUCUUCAAAUCGAGUGGCGAACGGGUGAGUAACGCGUGAGGAACCUGCCUCAAAGAGGGGGACAACAGUUGGAAACGACUGCUAAUACCGCAUAAGCCCACGGCUCGGCAUCGAGCAGAGGGAAAAGGAGCAAUCCGCUUUGAGAUGGCCUCGCGUCCGAUUAGCUAGUUGGUGAGGUAACGGCCCACCAAGGCGACGAUCGGUAGCCGGACUGAGAGGUUGAACGGCCACAUUGGGACUGAGACACGGCCCAGACUCCUACGGGAGGCAGCAGUGGGGAAUAUUGCACAAUGGGGGAAACCCUGAUGCAGCGACGCCGCGUAGAGGAAGAAGGUCUUCGGAUUGUAAACUCCUGUUGUUGAGGAAGAUAAUGACGGUACUCAACAAGGAAGUGACGGCUAACUACGUGCCAGCAGCCGCGGUAAAACGUAGGUCACAAGCGUUGUCCGGAAUUACUGGGUGUAAAGGGAGCGCAGGCGGGAGAACAAGUUGGAAGUGAAAUCCAUGGGCUCAACCCAUGAACUGCUUUCAAAACUGUUUUUCUUGAGUAGUGCAGAGGUAGGCGGAAUUCCCGGUGUAGCGGUGGAAUGCGUAGAUAUCGGGAGGAACACCAGUGGCGAAGGCGGCCUACUGGGCACCAACUGACGCUGAGGCUCGAAAGUGUGGGUAGCAAACAGGAUUAGAUACCCUGGUAGUCCACACCGUAAACGAUGAUUACUAGGUGUUGGAGGAUUGACCCCUUCAGUGCCGCAGUUAACACGAUAAGUAAUCCACCUGGGGAGUACGACCGCAAGGUUGAAACUCAAAGGAAUUGACGGGGGCCCGCACAAGCAGUGGAGUAUGUGGUU